GUUACCUCACAAUGAUGUGAUUUUGAUAUUAUUAACAGUGUCAGAAUAUAAACAGGAGAUUCAAAUCAGUUCUUAUAUUGUCCUUGAAUGGUGGAAAUGGUGUGCAAUACUAUCAAGCAAACUAAACCAUAGUUGAAGUGAAAAAGCAUAGGAUCUUAAACAGAUUUUUUCCUUUAUAAGUAUAACCAUAUUUUUCUAAGAACAAAUGUUUUUUACUUGUAAAAUCAAGAGAUCUCUUUUAAUUAUUUGGUGCAUUAUGCGUAAAUCUUUAUUCAUUUAUUCAACAAAUAUCUAAUAUAUAAUCACUCAGUGCAAUGAAUUCAUUUUUACAUAAAAAUCAUUCAAGUGCAUUAAGCUUAUUUGUUGAGUAAGUAAUUUUGUUACAUUCAGAUUCUGACUCAACAUACACUGAAUUUAUAACUUUUUUAAGUUUUAGGAAUCUUAAAAAGCACUAUUUCAAGAAAAAAAAUUU
rnacentral:lncRNA from 1 species